UCAACUGAUGACUGAUGACCGAUGAUUC
rnacentral:piRNA from 1 species